rnacentral:rRNA from 1 species
GACGAACGCUGGCGGCGUGCCUAAUACAUGCAAGUUGAGCGCUGAAGGUUGGUACUUGUACCAACUGGAUGAGCAGCGAACGGGUGAGUAACGCGUGGGGAAUCUGCCUUUGAGCGGGGGACAACAUUUGGAAACGAAUGCUAAUACCGCAUAAAAACUUUAAACACAAGUUUUAUGUUUGAAAGAUGCAAUUGCAUCACUCAAAGAUGAUCCCGCGUUGUAUUAGCUAGUUGGUGAGGUAAAGGCUCACCAAGGCGAUGAUACAUAGCCGACCUGAGAGGGUGAUCGGCCACAUUGGGACUGAGACACGGCCCAAACUCCUACGGGAGGCAGCAGUAGGGAAUCUUCGGCAAUGGACGAAAGUCUGACCGAGCAACGCCGCGUGAGUGAAGAAGGUUUUCGGAUCGUAAAACUCUGUUGGUAGAGAAGAACGUUGGUGAGAGUGGAAAGCUCAUCAAGUGACGGUAACUACCCAGAAAGGGACGGCUAACUACGUG